rnacentral:misc_RNA from 1 species
GUAUGUAAAUCCUUAAACGUCCCGACGGCCCGGUAACAUAUUCACUGGAUUCAAAAAAAAAAAAAAAUACGGGCCUACUUCUUUACCAUUUCUUAUAAUUCGGGCGGCUGGUAGCAAGGAAAUUAAAAAAAGUAGAUUUUCCCAUGUAUUUUUGGACCACCCUAAUGCAUGUAUAUGUACAUAAAUAAGUGCGCGACGGACUACAAUUGCCAAAACACAACAUGACGUAAAAGGCGAAAAGAUAAGACAAAAAAAGAAGGCGAAGACCUGCGCUAUGCUUCGAAGUAGAUGCGAACGUACAUUAGACUUCUACGUUUUAUAAAAAAAUUUAUUUUAUUUAUUUGUUGCGCAGAGAACGUGUGGCGUAGCGCGCGGUCCUAACUUCUUCAAGCGCUGUGGACGUGUUUACCUAAGCGCACCCGAGCAUAUCAAGAAUUACGCGGCUGUGUGCGUUGUUGUUGGUGCAGUUAAUUAACUCGCAACUUGGUCAAAGCUAUGCGUAUCCUAUCCUAACCCCUUUUGUUAAGACUUAGUUAAAAUAGUGAAACAAGGUAAAAAAGCAUAAAACAAAUAUAAAAGUAAUUGAUUAAUUUUCAUAGUUUUGCGUCAAAGAGGCAUAGAAUCACGAACAACCAACGCAUUUAAAUGAGUGAAACGGAAAAAAGAGCUCAAAGCCACAUCAAGUGUUCGAAAAGAAAAACAAAAUACAUAAAUAACUUGUGAAAACCCAACGAACAAACAAAGCGACAUUGCCUAUAUUUGCUAUAUAUCAACUAACACAUACGUACAUACGUUUGUACAAAGUAGUGAACAAAACAAACAAAAAAAACAAAAACACAAAAAACAGGCCGCUGAGAUAUCGGAAAACACCUCCAGCCGGCCAGGUGUCAUUUUCUACAAGCACCCGAACUAAAAUCAAUCAGCGCCUUUGUUUUGCCGCUGAUUUCGGUUUACUUUUGUUGCACGCGAACGAAGAACAGCUAGUGCCCUGCAGCACUUGCAGACCACCUCCGCGGCAGCUGCCAGCGUCAUGGGCAGCGUUUGGAAGCGUUUGCAGCGCGUCAAUAAACGUGCGGCGAAAUUUCAAUUUACCUCAUCGUAUCAUGAACUGCGAUUGGAGACCACCGCCAAAUGGCGCCCUUCAAAUCUUUCCGUGGUUUGGACGCGUCGCUCACGCCGUGUUAUUUCGGCGCCACUGGCCUGGGAGCCAGAUAUGGUGAAUCCGCUGGUCGGUCACAUAGCUUGGCCGGUGCCAGAUAAUCACUCGAUUUCGGUGACAUUAUUCAAAGAUCCGCGCACCCACGAACUAGAAGAUAAGGACUGGACGUUUGUCAUAGAAGAUAUCACUCCACUCGGCAAGAAGCGUGUCUUAGCCUCAGCGAGUAUAAAUAUGCGCAAAUACGCCAGUAUUGAGUCGACCCAGCAGAGCUUUACGCUUAGCUUAAAGCCGACCUCACGAAAGAUUACCGCCGCCGAAUUGGAAUUGACACUUAGUUGUGUGUUCCUGCGCGAGGGCAAAGCGACGGAUGAAGACAUGCAGAGCGUCGUUUCUCUGAUGUCCGUCAACAAUAAUUGUGAUGUUGCUCCACUGGACGACUUAGAGGAUAUACCCGAUCUGGAGAGUUCGGGCGAUAUUUCGGAUCAUUUAUAUGAUUUCACGCAACAGCUGGAGCAAAUGACGACUAGUUUGAACGGUUGUAUGGACCUGCCAACGCCAUUGAGUGUUCCUUCCUUGUCCGAAGACCCAACUCCAUUGGCCGAACAUAAUCGUUUGAAUUUUGAAUUCGAAUCAGAGAAACAAUUUGACUUCGAUGUCAGCGACGAGCUGCUUAAGACGCCCAGCGCUGCACAACCUCAAGUGCAGCAACAGCAAUCAGAUCAACAGUCUGAGAGGGAAAACACCGUUGCUGAUAAAGAGCCGAAGCAUUCAGUUCCUGCACUGACACCUGCCCAUCCUGCGGGAGUGAAGAGUAAAAUUGUUACAUCGACCCCAAUUGCCAACUCUGGCACUGCCAAGACGACCGAACGCAAGCCGAGCGCAGUGAGUGAAGUUGGUGCGCGUCGCUCAAUCGACUUCCAAGGCGCCAAGAGUAGCAGCACAAGCAACAGCGAGGAGUCACCGCAACAAAAUGGCGAAAUCAGCAAAGUGGUGACCAGCGCUGCAGUCUCUGUUACAGGUGAAGCUGGUGAAAAGACACAAUUGGCAGAAGCGAAAGCUGAAGAAAGGCCAACUAAGUUCAGUGGCACCAAGUCUACAACACUUAGCUCCUUGCUGUCUAUGUCGACCCCUGCUGCAGCAACAGCAACGACGUCAAUUAAACCGGGUGAGAGUGAAGAGUCGAAGGGCAAGUCGGUAAGCGUUGGCAACGUUGCGCCACCCAAACCCGCGCGUAACGACAUCAAACGCGCCGAAUUGCAGCCGCUCAAUUUGAAGAAGAGCUAUGAGCAUGACAACAACAGCAAGAGCAACAACAGCAUUGCCAUGACCAACAGCAUCAGCAAUCCAAACAACAAUAAUGUGAGCAGCAUUAACUGCAACAACAGUCUGACGGUGAAUGGUUCCGCUAAGACAGUGGAGAAAAUCGUCUUGAAAGAGAAUACACCAGGGCAAGAUUUGCUGGAGUGGUGCAAAGAUGUGACUAAGGACUAUCCGAAUGUGAAGGUGACCAAUUUGACGACCAGCUGGCGUAACGGCAUGGCGUUCUGUGCAAUCAUCCAUCACUUUGAGCCGGACCUGAUUGACAUGUCGAAAAUCUCCGCACACGAUGUGGUGGGCAAUUGUCGCACCGCCUUCGAUGCCGCCGAAUCGCUUGGCAUACCGCGCGUCAUUGAGCCACGUGACAUGAGUUUGCUGGCUGUGCCGGACAAAUUGGCUGUCAUGACGUAUCUGCAUCAGUUGCGAGCGCAUUUCACAGGCAAACAGCUGCAAAUUGAACAAAUUGGACCCACGUCAGACGAGUCAAGUUAUGUGAUCGGUAAUUACAAGUCGGACAACCUUUCGCAGAAUCUACUCAAUUUAAGCCACUUGAAAGCGCAAUUGUUGCAUCAGAAUUCGCUCGACGAUGACAUCUUAGGCAUCGAGGCGAAAAACAAUUCAACGCCAGCACAACCUUCGCCAACGGCGAAGAAGGAUGUAAAGAAUUUAAUACUCGCGGGCUCGAAGAAUAUUUUGGGCAAAGUGCUUUCGCCAACAAAGGAUAAGAAUUCGAUCAAUGCAUCACAUCAUAGUCAUGUGGGCAAUCAGACAGCUCCCAUCGAGGACAAGGAGAAUACAAAUGCCGACACGGGUGUUGGUGCUUCAACGGAUGACUUUUAUAAUAAAUCGAAUUUGGUGCAAUCAGAAACAAAGCAGGGGACGCCCCAUUCGCCAACAGCGCUGGAUCCCAAUGCGGCGAAUCGCAUUUUGUCUCGACACAAAGAAAUGAGUGAAAAAGCUAAAUUGAUGAUCGAGAAGCUGAAAAUUUCCAACGGCGUUGAGCGCAACGAGAACGACGAGGAACGUCAGCUACGUUUACGUGAGCAAGCGCGUCGCCUAAUUCUCGAGACUCGUACCAAAUCAGUUAAUGGCGGCGGCGGUGGCGGCAACUUGGAUAGCCCGACCACACCCACCAAGCUGAAACGCAUGAACUUCUCACCUGAACGCACCAUUUCACCCAUCCACAAUGGCAUCGAGGACUAUGGUGUGCCAAGCUUGGGCAACAAUUCACCGACAAAGGUGCCAAUGUCGCCAACGAAGAAGAUCACACCGCCGCGCGACGUGGAUGCCUUGUCGGCGACAACCAAUAGCAAUAGUAAAAUGUUGAGUCCUAGUCAUAGAUUAAGCGAACGCUUCAGCAACGGCACGAGCAACAGCGGCGGCAACAGUCCACUGCAGUCAUUCAAUGCCGUCAUGGAGCGUAUCUCACCAAAGAAUGAUAAGAAGGGUGACAAACUCUCCUACAUCGAAUCGGAAUUGGAAGCGCUCGAGCGUGAACAGGUAGCCAUCGACCAGAAGGCAAGCAGCCUGGAGAAGAAACUGCGCGCAGUCAUGGGCGGCAAUCCAAAAACCGAUGAAACGGAGGAGCAAUUGCUGUCGCAAUGGUUUACGCUCGUCAAUAAAAAAAACGCGCUGCUACGACGCCAAAUGCAGCUCAAUAUACUUGAGCAAGAAAGCGAUUUGGAGCGUAAAUACACGCUUUUAAAUCAGGAGUUGCGUGCCGCGCAGUCCGUUGAAGAUUGGCGGAAAACGGAAGCACAACGUGAAAAGGAGCGACUGCUGCUCGAGGAACUAGUGUCCAUUGUGGACAAACGUGAUCAGUUGGUGCAGCACUUACACAGUCAGGAAAUUGCUAUCGAGGACGAUCAUGAGAUUGCGCGUGAACUGGAACAGGUGGAUAUCAGUGGCGACAAGGACAAGUGCGUUUUGCAAUAAAUCGCCAAGGCGCUAAAAUUUAAAAUAUGUCUCUCGUCCGCAACUCGCAACGCAGUGAAGACGACUCUUGAGUAAAAAAACAAUUAAUUCGCAUUAUCUAAACAAUUUUUACAAUGCGUUUACGCAUAAAAAAUCGUAACUUAUUAUGAAGAAACGUUGAAUGAAAAUUCUCCGGUAGUUAGUGUUCAAGAUGAAUUCAUUUUCUACAACAGCGACAGUCAAGUCAAGUAAAAAUUUUCCUUGGGCAUAGCAAUUACUUAUUGAUUAAUCAACAAUUUGCUUGUUUGCAUAAAUAAUUCCGCCUUACGAAAGCGUGGAUGAACCGAUUUGAAAUUAAAAAUCAAAUACUUAGGCCGAUACACUGGGUGACAUAACAAGUGGUUUUGUCAUUAGGCCAUACAUUUUUGUAAGGUUAAAAAUUCGUGACAAUGUGGUGGUUAUAACAGUUGGUGAAUGCCCUAACUACAUACAUACCUAUGUAACAUUUGGUUCCUGAGCCUUUCGUUUACUACUAAAAAAUCUAUAUCACUGUUUAUUUCUUAUGAAUGUCUAAGCGCCGAUGCACAAUUCUAAACGAACGGCAGCGUUUGCAAUAACUGUGAACGCGGACAAUUACGAAGCACGACCCUCUACUGAACACACAAUAUAAAAUGGUCGAAGUUGCAGAAAAACCAAAUUGCAAUAAUACAAAUUGAAUUUUCUCUUAUUUGUUUUUUUUUUUUAUAGACAAUUUUAUUUCGCGCUAUAUAGUACACAUGUAUGUUAAUUCAUCCGAAGUACUUUUAUACCUUUAAGUUUUAUUAGAGAAUAAUUCUUUUUAAUAAACUCAAAAUUAAAAUACUAAAUAAAAUAAAAACCAAAACCUGUUGCGUGCAACUUAAACACAAAUUUGAAAAAACGUCCGUUAGUUUUGUAAGCAAAAGUAACACAAAAGAAUAAAAAUCAACAUAGUGAACAAAUAUGAAAUAAUUUUUAUUGUCCUAAGACCUAAAUCCCAGUUUUGUACGGUUUUUGCUUCACACGCUUCUUUUUUGUGCCAUUCUUUCGUUCAGCCAACACGACCGUUUAACGAUACUCAUUUCAACGCUUACACUGCUUUUUACAACUAUUUUACUUAAUUCGAAUUGAAUAUCCAGUUUGCUAUACAAAAUAUUAUUUGAAUUUCAAGAAAGUCAGAGAAGUUUUGUUUGAGUGGUACUAUUAAAAUGUUGAACUUAAUAAGCUGUAUCAAUGACUUCAGCUCAGUUAUGGUUUUGCAAUGUUCUUUUUUCAUCUAAUCUAUCAAUUGUAAAUUAUUUUUAAUUGUAUAUUUAAGCUGUAAUUACAUACAUUUAUUUUUUGAUAGUGGUUUAGUUUAUAAUUUGACUAGUGUGAUCCUAACUGUUAACUGUACCUACCUGUUUAUUAUUAAACAACAAAAACCAAGUAAAAUAUAGAAAUACGUGUUUAGUUUCAUAAUUAUUAUUUUUAAAUUUAUUAUUAGGUAUUGUUUGGUAUUAAGUUGCUUACCGAAUAGAAAUUGGUGACUAUCGACUUUUGUUUUUACCUUCACCCCCAAAUUAUGUUAUGAUUAUUUAGUGCUUUUGAUUUCGUUGCCUAUGGAUCUAACGCGAAACGUUGCAUUGAUGGCGUUUCAAAAAUACUUAAAAACCUAUAAUUUUAAAUGUACUUUAAAUGGAACUGCGAACAGAAAAUGUAUUACGUUUAAGUGAUCUAUUGAUAAUACAUGCAUAACUAGAUAUGUAUAUGAAUGAUAUAUGGAUAUGUACUAAAUGUGAAAUAAUCAACAAAA